rnacentral:rRNA from 1 species
AGAGUUUGAUCCUGGCUCAGAUUGAACGCUGGCGGCAGGCCUAACACAUGCAAGUCGAGCGGAUGAGUGGAGCUUGCUCCAUGAUUCAGCGGCGGACGGGUGAGUAAUGCCUAGGAAUCUGCCUGGUAGUGGGGGACAACGUUUCGAAAGGAACGCUAAUACCGCAUACGUCCUACGGGAGAAAGCAGGGGACCUUCGGGCCUUGCGCUAUCAGAUGAGCCUAGGUCGGAUUAGCUAGUAGGUGAGGUAAUGGCUCACCUAGGCGACGAUCCGCAACUGGUCUGAGAGGAUGAUCAGUCACACUGGAACUGAGACACGGUCCAGACUCCUACGGGAGGCAGCAGUGGGGAAUAUUGGACAAUGGGCGAAAGCCUGAUCCAGCCAUGCCGCGUGUGUGAA